CAAUUGUUUUGCAUGCUAUCAGAGCAUUAACAUCCGUUUGCACCCCAUAAGUUAAAAAAAACAAUUUAUUUACCCUUAAAAGUAGGGUUGUCAUAUUUUUCUCCGUUGGAAUAACCACCUCUUAGAUUUGAGAACUUUCAUUUCACCUCCACACAAUGGAAGAGACUCUUCCUGACUCCUCUGAUUAGUUCUGGCAUUAUUAUCUCAGUUUCCAACCAUAAACAUGGGCCUUCCUGGUUUUCUGCUCAACAGUUCUCCCUAUUCUAGCAUUGUCCUCACCAAUUCUCCCUUUUUCGGUAUUGUUAUUGUUUUUCAGCUGAUUUUCCUUUCUUUUCAAUCGCUCCCUUAUUUUCCAAUGACCGACGGGUGCAUUAGUGGGUUCCUUCUCAUCUUCCGGCCACAAACAAUCACGUUACUCUUUUUCGGCCAAGAACGGACACUUUCAUAUCUCCAACAAACGAGUCAUGCGUUAUAUCUUUUAGGGUUUUCUCUUGCGACGAACAAACACUCUCAAAUCUCUAACGAUCCAUCUCCCCAACGACUUGAUAUUCAAGCUCUCAUAUCUUUGAUGAUCUAUCUCGCUGGCGAUUUGAAUUCCUAGCUUGGCUUCCCGGCUUCUGGCAAACCUCUACAAAAGACAAUAGCUAAAGGAUACAGAAAUGAAGGUUUAUAUGCUACUGAGGAAGCUAGAGACCAAGUUUUCGCUGUUACACAAAAUAAAGCUUCCCUAGAUAUAUGACAUCAAAGAAUGGGACACCCCGAUUCCAAGUUUUUAAAGCAUUUGCACAACAAACACUUUUUUGAUAUUUUUAGUUGGAAAAGACCAGAGACAUCCUUUUAGCUUGACAAAUCAAAUUUCAAUUUUCCUUUAGAUAAAAAUCCACUGUGAUUUAUGAGAUCGACCGUUAUAUCUUCAUGUUAAGAUUUUAAGUAUUACGUUAUUUUAAUAUAUGAUUGCACUUGUUAUUCU